GACGGGGCCCGCACAAGCGGUGGAGUAUGUGGUUUAAUUCGAUGCAACGCGAAGAACCUUACCUGGUCUUGACAUCCCGGAGACCCUUAGGAAACUAGGGGGUGCUUCCAUCUGGAAGAAUCUGGAGACAGGUGCUGCAUGGCUGUCGUCAGCUCGUGUCGUGAGAUGUUGGGUUAAGUCCCGCAACGAGCGCAACCCUUGCCUUUAGUUGCCAGCAGUUCGGCUGGGCACUCUAAAGGGACUGCCGGUGUUAAACCGGAGGAAGGUGGGGAUGACGUCAAGUCCUCAUGGCCUUUAUGACCAGGGCUACACACGUACUACAAUGGCCGAUACAAAGGGCAGCGACACUGCGAGGUGAAGCCAAUCCCGUAAAAUCGGUCUCAGUCCGGAUUGGAGUCUGCAACUCGACUCCAUGAAGUUGGAAUCGCUAGUAAUCGUGGAUCAGCAUGCCACGGUGAAUACGUCCCCGGGCCUU
rnacentral:rRNA from 1 species